rnacentral:misc_RNA from 1 species
CAAUUUAUAAUUACUAUUAGGAAUUGCAAGCUGGUUGUUUGAAUCCGUGAAUUCUCACUUUACUUUUAUUGCGGCACUCAUCAUGACAACUAUUCGGUGGGCUCUAUUCGCUGUCGCUCUUUUCUGCAGUGUUCUCACUCCAGUGCAUGGCCGCAUUCUUGGUGUGCAGAGUCGGUACACUGCAUACUUCGAUGCAGCGAAAAACGCAGGGGUUUUCCGUUGCCUAGAUGGCUCGGCCACCAUCCCCUUUAGUUCUGUAAACAAUGACAUAUGCGACUGCGCUGAUGGCAGUGAUGAGCCAGGCACAGCAGCAUGCACUGCACUUCGCGGCAGCGCUCUCACGCUGUUUCCACAGGAUUGGAAGUUCCAGUGUACAGCUGAAGAGCAUGUUUCACAAGAGUUUCUUCACAAUCACGUAAACGACGGAAUCUGUGACUGCUGUGACGGCUCCGACGAGGCCGAAUCGCCCACCUUAUGCCCGAAUCGAUGCGCAGAGGUGGCUAGAGAGCUUGUGCGGCAGCGAGAGGCCGAGCAGGAGCGGAGCAGAAAGGCUGCAGUGAGCAAGGCAGUGAUGCACUCCGCCGCACUGCGGCGCCGGAAAGAAGCGGCGAAAUCCCUGGCUGAGCUGGAGACGGAGUACGCCCAGAUAGUAGCGGAUCUACCGGCACUUGAGGCGAGGAAGGCGGCUGCCGAGAAGGAGCAGGAAGCACGAUGGACUGAGCUGGAAAUGGAACAGAAUGAAUCGGAGGCUGGUCAUUACGGGAGCGAAUUCAGUGAUGACGCGACAUCUUGCAUCCGAUGGUGCCAAACAGGCGGCUGUAUUGGCACUGGUCCGCGCGAAAGUCACAGGGACAAGUCGUGCUCCAACGUCAUCGAUCGAGAUAGCUCAGGGUAUUGUGAGUGCAAGACGAAUGAUGAGAAGGACGAGCGUGAAGAGGAUGAAGAAGGUGCCGAGCGUGAGGCCGAGGGUGAAGGAACGGAGAUGCGCAAUGGUACCAUCGCAUACCGCUUUUCAUGUGGUCACCCUGAGUUAACAUGUAUGUAUGUAUGCGACCACAGCGGUGAAGUGGGUGUUGGCAAGAAGCCCGAAAAGCUGCAAAACUUCGCGAUCUUGGACGAGGUGCGAGAGGCUAGUGAGUCUCUCGAGAGGAAGAAGAGUCGAUUGGAGGAAGUGGAGAGGGCGAUGGAGGCGGCAAAGAAGCUGCUAUCUUCUGCGACGAUCACCACGGAAGAUCUGCUUCGCACACUCGAGAGGGAAGAGUUCACGAUUGAUUUCCAAGAGUACACUUACGCGGUUAUCAUGUUUGACAAAGUGUACCAGCGCAAUAUCGGGAUGACGACGGGUGGGAGUCUUCUGGGCUCGUGGAAGUCGUUUGCAGAAAACACAUACUCUGUGUGGGCUAAAGACGCACACGAUUUGUCCCAGAUGAUCUACGACAACGGGUUGAGAUGCUGGAACGGCGUGGUGCGCAACGUCGAGGUGCAUCUUGUAUGUGGCCCGGAGAACAAGCUGAUGACGGUGGAGGAGCCUUCCAUGUGCAACUACCGCAUGGUUUUUGAGACGCCGGCGAUGUGUGACGAUUGAGUCACGACUUUCGCCCUCCCUUUUCUGUUUUUUUUUUUCUUUCAGUAGCUCUUUUCUCGCUCGGCAGAACAUCUGCACAGUGGCGCAUCGGCGCCGUCUCCAUCUUCUUUCAAUGGGCUGCUGCUUCUUGAUUUCCGACCAAAACGGACUCGCGCACAUACGCUCUGGAGGUAUGCGUCUCUUUCCCCCCGUCAGCUGUUCUUGUAUUCGUUUUUUUUUUUGUGUCUUUGUGGGAUGGGUCGGCAGGUCCUUUUUUUGUUCUUACGGACUUCGCCGCACCCCCUUAACAGAGAAGUACUAAGUCGAUCACCACAGCGCCG